CCUACGGGAGGCAGCAGUGAGGAAUAUUGGUCAAUGGACGGAAGUCUGAACCAGCCAUGCCGCGUGCAGGAAGACGGCUCUAUGAGUUGUAAACUGCUUUUGUACAAGGGUAAACCUGAAUACGUGUAUUCAGCUGAAAGUACUGUACGAAUAAGGAUCGGCUAACUCCGUGCCAGCAGCCGCGGUAAUACGGAGGAUCCAAGCGUUAUCCGGAUUUAUUGGGUUUAAAGGGUGCGUAGGCGGAUUGAUAAGUUAGAGGGGAAAUGUCCGAGCUUAACUCGGGAACUGCCUCUAAUACGGUUGAUCUAGAGAGUAGAUGCGGUAGGCGGAAUGUAUGGUGUAGCGGUGAAAUGCUUAGAGAUCAUACAGAACACCGAUUGCGAAGGCAGCUUACCAAUCUAUAUCUGACGUUGAGGCACGAAAGCGUGGGGAGCAAACAGGAUUAGAUACCCCGGUAGUC
rnacentral:rRNA from 1 species